rnacentral:rRNA from 1 species
AACGAACGCUGGCGGCAGGCUUAACACAUGCAAGUCGAGCGCCCCGCAAGGGGAGCGGCAGACGGGUGAGUAACGCGUGGGAACGUACCCUUAUCUUCGGAAUAGCUCCGGGAAACUGGAAUUAAUACCGAAUGUGCCCUUUGGGGGAAAGAUUUAUCGGAUAAGGAUCGGCCCGCGUUGGAUUAGCUAGUUGGUGGGGUGAAGGCCUACCAAGGCGACGAUCCAUAGCUGGUCUGAGAGGAUGAACAGCCACAUUGGGACUGAGACACGGCCCAAACUCCUACGGGAGGCAGCAGUGGGGAAUAUUGGACAAUGGGCGCAAGCCUGAUCCAGCCAUGCCGCGUGAGUGAUGAAGGCCCUAGGGUUGUAAAGCUCUUUCAGUAGGGAAGAUAAUGACGGUACCUACAGAAGAAGCCCCGGCUAACUUCGUGCCAGCCGCCGCAGUAACAC